GCCCCUUAUCUCAGUCAGUAAAGCACGAAAUUCUCAAUUUCAGGGUCAUGGGUUCAAGCCCCAAGUUGGGCA